UACGUAGGGCGCAAGCGUUGUCCGGAAUUAUUGGGCGUAAAGAGCUCGUAGGUGGCGUGUCGCGUCUGCCGUGAAAGCCCAUGGCUUAACUGUGGGUCUGCGGUGGAUACGGGCAGGCUGGAGGCUGGUAGGGGCAAGCGGAAUUCCUGGUGUAGCGGUGAAAUGCGCAGAUAUCAGGAGGAACACCGGUGGCGAAGGCGGCUUGCUGGGCCAGUUCUGACGCUGAGGAGCGAAAAGCGUGGGGGAGCGAAACAGGG
rnacentral:rRNA from 1 species